GGCCUGAUGGUGUACUUGUAACACAUCCUACUUCAUUAUUGGAUCAUCACAUUGUGUUGUUAGGAAGUUCCUUGUUCAACUCAAGGUCAGGCCA